CAGUAGCCACGGUAAUACGGAGGGUGCAAGCGUUAUCCGGAUUUAUUGGGUUUAAAGGGUCCGUAGGCGGACUUAUAAGUCAGUGGUGAAAGCCUGUCGCUUAACGAUAGAACUGCCAUUGAUACUGUAAGUCUUGAGUAUAUUUGAGGUAGCUGGAAUAAGUAGUGUAGCGGUGAAAUGCAUAGAUAUUACUUAGAACACCAAUUGCGAAGGCAGGUUACCAAGAUAUAACUGACGCUGAGAGACGAAAGCGUGGGUAGCGAACAGGAUUAGAUACCCCGGUAGUCCCUGUCUCUUAUAC
rnacentral:rRNA from 1 species